UACGGAGGGGGCUAGCGUUGUUCGGAAUUACUGGGCGUAAAGCGCACGUAGGCGGCUUUGCAAGUCAGAGGUGAAAGCCCGGGGCUCAACCCCGGAAUUGCCUUUGAGACUGCAUCGCUAGAAUUGUGGAGAGGUAAGUGGAAUUCCGAGUGUAGAGGUGAAAUUCGUAGAUAUUCGGAAGAACACAGUGGCGAAGGCGACUUACUGGACACAUAUUGACGCUGAGGUGCGAAAGCGUGGGGAGCAAACAGG
rnacentral:rRNA from 1 species